AGAGCGACCUUGCGGCGUCUUACCCAUGCAUGUCGUACGACGAUCGUCGGUGUAGCAUACAUCGGCGGUUCGAGUGGCGCCGGUGAGUAACACGUGGGUAACCCACCCUCGAGACCGGGAUACCCUCUCGAAAGGGAGGCUAAUACUGGAUACGUUCCUCGGGACGCACGUCUUGGGGAGGAAAGGUGGCGAAAGCUGCCGCUCUUGGAGGGGCUCGCGGCCUAUCAGCUAGUUAGUGAGGUAACGGCUCACCAAGGCUAUGACGGGUAGCUGGUCUGAGAGGACGACCAGCCACACGGGAACUGAGACACGGUCCCGACUCCUAUGGGAGGCAGCAGUGGGGAAUUUUCCGCAAUGGGCGAAAGCCUGACGGAGUGACGCCGCGUGGGGGACGAAGGCCUUCGGGUCGUAAACCCCUGUCAGAGCGGAAAGAAGGGUGUCGGCGUGAAUAGCGCUGGCAUCUGACGGUACCUUCAGAGGAAGCCCCGGCCAACUCUGUGCCAGCAGCCGCGGUAAGACAGAGGGGGCAAGCGUUGCUCGGAAUCACUGGGCGUAAAGGGCGCGUAGGCGGGAUGGCAAGUCGGUCGUGAAAUCCUUCGGC
rnacentral:rRNA from 1 species